ACUUACCACUACCUCCUCGUCUCUGUCUCCUUGAUUUUUGAUCCCAACAUGCUCAAAUGACGGAUCUCCCGUGAAGCGCCCUCUUGCAGCUCUAUUCACCUCCUCGGUCAUGGAGUCUGUGGCAGGGGGCAGCAGGAACCAGUCCAUGCAGUUGAAGCUGAGGUCGAAACACGACACAUCAAGUUCCUCAGAAACUCUGCCAAUGCACAUGAUGUCCGGUUUAUAACCUAUACUGCAGCCAAUCAUUCAAGAGAACUCCAAACGGUUUGACUUCACCUUUCUGGAGCUGCCAUGUCAUCAAUCUAUUCAUACUAUGUGGUGGAGUAAAGGUCAGAAAUCUCUCUAUACUUUGACUUUGAUUAUCAUUCUACUAAAGGAGGAUCCGCCUUUUUCACUUGGGUUCAAAUAAUUGACUAGCUUUCGAGCCUUGCACAACAAUCGUCAUAAAUACAAAUAUCUGUGUGAACAUCUGAGUGACCUAUUUGGACAAGGAUGCACCAAACCGCUCCCAGUAUGCAUGUAAUAAAAUCAAACCUCAGAUCAGACUUUACACACCCAGUACUACAGAACGGAGCCAGUGAAUCUGCGGUGCGUUCGAUAUCAAGUUAAAGUUUUGUGUGUGGUUUUGGAGCUGUAUGACGUCAAUCUUGCUGUUGCUGCUGGACAGAGCUUCUUCCCAGGCUGCUGCACCCUGAACAUCCACAUCCCUCCUGCUCCACCGAACCCACAGAUGACUCUCUUCCAAAGCAGCAACUCAUCCUCGGCGCCACUUGAGAAUAUCUGCAAGACAUUAGUGCCCCCGCAUCCUGACCCCGUGCAGCUCUUUCAUAUGACUUUGGAGAGAGAAGAAGUACAGCCAUAUCAGACAGAUGAUGGGCGCGGCCAGAGCUUGAUUGACAGCUGCCAGGUGGACCUGACGAUCCAGCCGAGCAGGCAGCAGCAGAGCGAGCACAUGCCAUACGAAUGAUGUAAAGCAGUAACCCUGGUAAGCGCAGCAUCUCCAUCCCGGAGCCGACAAGGGCAGCCGUGAUCACGUAGUUGACGAAGAACGCUCCUUGGUCAGAGUUUCAUAAUUGGAUGACGGUUGGCGGACCCUCCCGCAGCAGCUUGUGCCGCCACACUCGAGUGCAUUGAAGUCUUUCAGAAUGCUGAGAUUGGGCGCAGCAGCGGAGGUGACCACACAAUCGGGGGUUAAUCAGCUCACGUUUUCCUGUAGUCUCUAAAACACGCUCGUAGAAGCGCAGGUUUUUUCCAGCUCUCAUCCUGAAGUUAACAAAAAUAAACACAUACAAGUCCUUUCCAGCUAAGUGACGUUUGAAACAUAUUUUGAAGGUCAGAAUGUGCUUUGCAUGUUGGUAAUCAUAAA